rnacentral:rRNA from 1 species
UACAGAGACUGCAAGCGUUGUUCGGAUUCAUUGGGCGUAAAGGGUGCGCAGGCGGUCCGGUAAGUUGGAUGUGAAAUACCAUGGCUUAACCAUGGAAGGUCAUUCAAAACUGCCGGGCUAGAGGACUGGAGAGGAGACUGGAAUAGUCGGUGUAGCGGUGAAAUGCGCAGAUAUCAGGAGGAACACCGGUGGCGAAGGCGGGUCUCUGGGCCGAUACUGACGCUGAGGAGCGAAAGCGUGGGGAGCGAACAGG